AUGGGUGUGGAGCCAAAAUUUCAAACAAAACGUCAAAGUAAAAGGAAGAGGCAUUUUGAUGAAAUCAAUGAUGUAGAUGAUGAUCUACAACUAUCAGCUAUUGAAUCAUUCAGAGUUACUUACUUUCUUGUCAUUGUUGACACCGCAAUUGCUUCAUUGACUAGUCGGUUUAAGCAGCUGAAGGAAUUUGAAAAUGUGUUUGGUUUCUUAUUCAACUCAAAUAAUCUGAAGUCUUUGGAUGAUAGUAACCUACGAAAAUCUUGCACUAGUUUUGCUAAAGCUUUUACUCAUAAAAGUUCGCAUGAUGUUGAUCUUGAUGAUUUUUUCUCUGAGUUAAAAGUGUUGCAAGUAACUUUGCCAGAUGAUUUGAUGUCAGCACCUGAGAUUCUUCAGUUUGUUACAGCUGUAGAUUGCUAUCCAAAUGUGUCAGUUGCCUAUCGGAUCCUCUUGAUUGUACCUGUGACUGUAGCCUCGGCUGAAAGAAGUUUCUCUAAAUUGAAACUACUGAAGAAUUGUUUGAGGUUGACCAUGUUACAAGACAGAUUGAAUGGAUUGGCCAUGUGCUCUGUUGAGAAGGAUAUCUUGGACAACAUUGAUCUUGAUAUUGUCAUCAAUGAUUUUGCUUCUAGAAAUGCCCGAAGAAGUUUUUUCGUGAAGAAUUGA
rnacentral:rRNA from 1 species